AUUGAACGCAGGCGGCAUGCCUUACACAUGCAAGUCGAACGGCAGCACGGGAGCAAUCCUGGUGGCGAGUGGCGAACGGGUGAGUAGUAUAUCGGAACGUGCCCAGUAGUGGGGGAUAACUGCUCGAAAGAGCAGCUAAUACCGCAUACGACCUGAGGGUGAAAGGGGGGGAUCGCAAGACCUUCCGCUAUCGGAGCGGCCGAUGUCGGAUUAGCUAGUUGGUGGGGUAAAAGCCCACCAAGGCGACGAUCCGUAGCUGGUCUGAGAGGACGACCAGCCACACUGGGACUGAGACACGGCCCAGACUCCUACGGGAGGCAGCAGUGGGGAAUUUUGGACAAUGGACGCAAGUCUGAUCCAGCCAUGCCGCGUGCGGGAAGAAGGCCUUCGGGUUGUAAACCGCUUUUGUCAGGGAAGAAAUCUUCUGAGUUAAUACCUCGGGAGGAUGACGGUACCUGAAGAAUAAGCACCGGCUAACUACGUGCCAGCCGCCGCAGUAACAC
rnacentral:rRNA from 1 species